rnacentral:rRNA from 1 species
GAUGAAUGCUGGCGGCGCGCCUAACACAUGCAAGUCGAGCGGAAAGGCCCUUCGGGGUACUCGAGCGGCGGACGGCUGAGUAACGCGUGGGAACAUGCCCCAAAGUGAGGAAUAACUGCCCGAAAGGGUAGCUAAUACCGCAUAUGAUCUUCGGAUUAAAGGAUUUAUCCGCUUUGGGAGUGGCCCGCGUACGAUUAGGUAGUUGGUGAGGUAAAGGCUCACCAAGCCUACGAUCGUUAACUGGUCUGAGAGGAUGAUCAGUCAGACUGGAACUGAGACACGGUCCAGACUCCUACGGGAGGCAGCAGUGGGGAAUAUUGGACAAUGGGGGGAACCCUGAUCCAGCCAUGCCGCGUGUGUGAAGAAGGCCUUAUGGUUGCAAAGCACUUUAAGCGAGGAGGAGGCUCUUUUGGUUAAUACCCAAGAUGAGUGGACGUUACUCGCAGAAUAAGCACCGGCUAA